rnacentral:rRNA from 1 species
GACGAACGCUGGCGGCGUGCUUAACACAUGCAAGUCGAACGGAAAGGCCCUGCUUUUGUGGGGUGCUCGAGUGGCGAACGGGUGAGUAACACGUGAGUAACCUGCCCUUGACUUUGGGAUAACUUCAGGAAACUGGGGCUAAUACCGGAUAGGAGCUCCUGCUGCAUGGUGGGGGUUGGAAAGUUUCGGCGGUUGGGGAUGGACUCGCGGCUUAUCAGCUUGUUGGUGGGGUAGUGGCUUACCCAGGCUUUGACGGGUAGCCGGCCUGAGAGGUUGACCGGCCACAUUGGGACUGAGGUACGGCCCAGACUCCUACGGGAGGCAGUAGUGGGGAAUAUUGCACAAUGGGCGGACGCCUGAUGCAGCAACGCCGCGUGCGGGAUGACGGCCUUCGGGUUGUAAACCGCUUUCGCCUGUGACGAAGCGUGAGUGACGGUAAUGGGUAAAUAAGCACCGGCUAACUACGUG